rnacentral:rRNA from 1 species
CGGAAUUACUGGGCGUAAAGGGCUCGUAGGCGGCCAACUAAGGCAGACGUGAAAUCCCUAGGCUCAACCUAGGAACUGCGUCUGAUACUGGAUGGCUUGAAUCCGGGAGAGGGAUGCAGAAUUCCAGGUGUAGCGGUGAAAUGCGUAGAUAUCUGGAGGAAUACCGGUGGCGAAGGCGGCAUCCUGGACCGGCAUUGACGCUGAGGAGCGAAAGCCAGGGGAGCAAACGGG